CCUGCUCAGAGUCAUGAGAAUAUAUUCCAAUUGUGUUGAAAAGCUAAGUUUGGGGUAAAAACCCCAAAAGCUCUCAAAGCCCUAGAAAGUGCAAAAACAAGAGAAAAAGAAAAAGUGAUAAAUCGAGAAAAAUAAAGAAAAAUAAAAAUCAAAUACUCGAUGAUUCAAAAGAAAGAAGCACAGAAAAGGGUAGUCGGUAAAAAUUCAAGAAAUAAGAAGAGUAAACCGAGGAAAUAAAAGAAGCCAACACAUGAUGUAACAUCGACUCUGAGCCAAAAGCCCAUUGUUGUCCUUUUUUUGUGUGAAUCCAUACCCUAACACAAGCCAAGCUACAACC
rnacentral:lncRNA from 1 species